rnacentral:rRNA from 1 species
GACGUAGGGCGCGAGCGUUGUCCGGAUUUAUUGGGCGUAAAGAGCUCGUAGGCGGUUUGUCGCGUCGUCCGUGAAAACUCACAGCUUAACUGUGAGCUUGCGGUCGAUACGGGCAGGCUAGAGUUCGGUAGGGGAGACUGGAAUUCCUGGUGUAGCGGUGAAAUGCGCAGAUAUCAGGAGGAACACCGGUGGCGAAGGCGGGUCUCUUGGCCGAUACUGACGCUGAGGAGCGAAAGCGUGGGGAGCGAACAGG